GGGCUUGAGUGUGGUAGGGGCAGAGGGAAUUCCCGGUGUAGCGGUGAAAUGCGUAGAUAUCGGGAAGAACACCAGUGGCGAAGGCGCUCUGCUGGGCCAUAACUGACGCUCAUGGACGAAAGCCAGGGGAGCGAAAGGGAUUAGAUACCCCUGUAGUCCUGGCCGUAAACGAUGAACACUAGGUGUCGGGGGAAUCGACCCCCUCGGUGUCGUAGCCAACGCGUUAAGUGUUCCGCCUGGGGAGUACGCACGCAAGUGUGAAACUCAAAGGAAUUGACGGGGGCCCGCACAAGCGGUGGAGUAUGUGGUUUAAUUCGAUGCAACGCGAAGAACCUUACCAGGGUUUGACAUCCUGCGAACCUCUUGGAAACGAGAGGGUGCCUUCGGGAACGCAGUGACAGGUGGUGCAUGGCUGUCGUCAGCUCGUGUCGUGAGAUGUUGGGUUAAGUCCCGCAACGAGCGCAACCCACGUCUUUAGUUGCCAGCAUUUAGUUGGGCACUCUAGAGAGACCGCCGGUGAUAAACCGGAGGAAGGUGUGGAUGACGUCAAGUCAUCAUGCCCCUUACAUCCUGGGCUACACACGUACUACAAUGCUACGGACAAAGAGCAGCAAGUUCGCGAGGACAAGCAAAUCUCAUAAACCGUGGCUCAGUUCAGAUCGUAGGCUGCAACUCGCCUACGUGAAGGAGGAAUCGCUAGUAAUCGCAGGUCAGCAUACUGCGGUGAAUACGUUCCCGGGCCUUGUACACACCGCCCGUCACACCAUGGAAGUUGGCCACGCCCGAAGCCGUCACUCCAACCCUUGUGGAGGAGGACGUCGAAGGUGGGGCUGAUGACUGGGGUGAAGUCGUAACAAGGU
rnacentral:rRNA from 1 species